rnacentral:rRNA from 1 species
AUUGAACGCUGGCGGCAGGCCUAACACAUGCAAGUCGAGCGGGGUUUUCGGACCUAGCGGCGGACGGGUGAGUAAUGCGUAGGAAGCUACCCGAUAGAGGGGGAUACCAGUUGGAAACGACUGUUAAUACCGCAUAAUGUCUACGGACCAAAGUGUGGGACCUUCGGGCCACAUGCUAUCGGAUGCGCCUACGUGGGAUUAGCUAGUUGGUGGGGUAAUGGCUCACCAAGGCGACGAUCCCUAGCUGGUUUGAGAGGAUGAUCAGCCACACUGGAACUGAGACACGGUCCAGACUCCUACGGGAGGCAGCAGUGGGGAAUAUUGGACAAUGGGCGCAAGCCUGAUCCAGCCAUGCCGCGUGUGUGAAGAAGGUCUUCGGAUUGUAAAGC